AGGAAAAGAAACUAACAAGGAUUCCCCUAGUAACGGCGAGUGAAGCGGGAAGAGCUCAAAUUUGUAAUCUGGCACUUUCAGUGUCCGAGUUGUAAUCUCGAGAAGUGUUUUCCGCGCCGGACCGCAUACAAGUCUGUUGGAAUACAGCGUCAUAGUGGUGAGAACCCCGUAACUGAUGCGGAUGCCCGGUGCUUUGUGAUACACUUUCGAAGAGUCGAGUUGUUUGGGAAUGCAGCUCAAAUUGGGUGGUAAAUUCCAUCUAAAGCUAAAUAUUGGCGAGAGACCGAUAGCGAACAAGUACCGUGAGGGAAAGAUGAAAAGCACUUUGGAAAGAGAGUUAACAGUACGUGAAAUUGUUGGAAGGGAAACGCUUGAGGUCAGACUUGCUAUUUGGAAUUCAGCCGCAAGGUGUACUUUUCAAUUCGCAGGCCAGCAUCAGUUUUCGGGGGUGGAAAAGGGUAGAGAGAAGGUAGCUGUUUCGGCAGUGUUAUAGCUCUUUACUGGAUUCAU
rnacentral:rRNA from 1 species